UCUCCACAGAUUUUAUGCUGCAGAAAUCUGCAUCGCGCUGAACUUCCUUCAUGAGAAGGGCAUCAUUUACCGAGAUCUGAAACUGGACAACGUUCUGUUGGACCACGAAGGACACAUUAAGCUCACGGACUACGGCAUGUGCAAGGAGGGGAUCAGACCAGGGGACACCACCAGUACUUUCUGUGGAACCCCCAACUACAUCGCACCUGAGAUCCUCAGAGGAGAGGACUACGGCUUCAGUGUGGACUGGUGGGCUCUGGGUGUGCUGAUGUUCGAGAUGAUGGCUGGAAGAUCUCCGUUUGAUAUUAUUACAGACAAUCCUGACAUGAACACAGAGGAGUACCUCUUCCAAG